GCCACGGUGGUCCAUCGGUUAGAACGCUGGCCUUGUAAUCCUGGGGUCUCGGGUUCGAUUCCCGGCGGUGCCC
rnacentral:tRNA from 1 species